AUGGUACAACAACAUUGCCAUGAGGUUGCCUUUAUUCAUUCCAUAGACCUUGUGGUUGUUUCUCUCCACAUUGGGAAGAUAAACUCUACCACCCUUGGGGCCUCUGAAGCCACCAAGUCAGACCAAUCCCUUUGGCAGAGUUUGGAUGCUCUUGUGGUCACCGAGCCUGAUCCAGACAUCAGAGAUGUCAAUGGGCAGUGUCACCUGACAGGCUUUCAACAAAGCUUCUCCACAUCUGAGUUCCCUUGUUAUUUAACCUGCUGGGAGAUGGCAAGUCCCUGGCAGAGGAACACCAGUCUUCCAGAAGAUCCAUCUAGCUGGAUAUUGAUACCCAAACUACACCAGCACCUCUGAAGGCAGGCAUGUGCAGGAAAGACCCAUCAAAAGACAAAGAAGAUCAAGACCUCAAUCAAUGAAAGCAAUUUGGAAUACUACAGCCUUGCUGAGGGUUUUUAUCACAGCUGGGAGAGCUGAGCAAGUGUGCUGAAACUGAGUGAAUCUCUUCAAGGUGAAUAAAUAUAUGCACAGUCAUAGAAGGACA
rnacentral:lncRNA from 1 species